rnacentral:rRNA from 1 species
GACGAACGCUGGCGGCGUGCUUAACACAUGCAAGUCGAGCGGUAAGGCCCUUUCGGGGGUACACGAGCGGCGAACGGGUGAGUAACACGUGGGUGACCUGCCCUCAGCUCUGGGAUAAGCCCGGGAAACUGGGUCUAAUACUGGAUAUUACUCUGCGGUGCAUGCCGUGGGGUGGAAAGCCUUGUGCGGCUGGGGAUGGGCCCGCGGCCUAUCAGCUUGUUGGUGGGGUGAUGGCCACCAAGGCGACGACGGGUAGCCGGCCUGAGAGGGCGACCGGCCACACUGGGACUGAGACACGGCCCAGACUCCUACGGGAGGCAGCAGUGGGGAAUCUUGCGCAAUGGGCGAAAGCCUGAACGCAGCGACGCCGCGUGAGGGAUGACGGCCU